UGAGUGCUCAGUGGUAGUCAGUAGAUCAGUAGAUCAGGCUUUGAUUGUAAACUCUAAAAUAGUUUCAGGAGCCUAUCAGUUCAAUUUGUUUCAAUUCUAAUUUCAGUUUCUUGUUAACCAACUACAAAAAAAAGCCACAAUAAUUAAUUCUUACGUCAUGUCUUCAGGAGCUUAUUUUGAGAAAAGAGUCUCUUUAAAGCUUUUGUUAUUAAUGCUAUACAGAGUUGGUCCUGGAUCUGUCCACAUUGUCAGUUGACUAUCUCAACUAUGUUAUCUAUGAGGAGAAUGUGCAUGAGAUGCUGCUGUCAUGACUGUGUUGGCAUAAAUAUGACAGCUGCCAUGAAAAUACAUCAUCGUUACCUGUGACACCAAUCAAUGAGCAUGAUGAGGGCACUUUGCGAACAACUUCAGGUAUUUCUAAAAUGAUAAAAUUCCACAUAAUUCAUCAAAUGUUUAUGUGUUCUGACACCUAACUUAUAUUGUGGCUUACCAUGUGCCCUAAAUAUUCCUGUUUACAGAUCAGUCGACAUGUUAGCUGUGUGACUUGUAGAAUAUAUACAUGUUAACCUGGACAUCUUUGUCAGCAUUGGUGAGUAAUCAGCAUUUUAGUCAUUAAUCACGUAAUAAACAUGUCAUGAUGAUAUAUGAAUGAUGCAUGCAUUUUGGAUUAUUGAAUAAGUAUCAUUACAUACCAAACAUAGUAAGCUAUGACACCUAGGAUUCAAUCAAGAGCUGUUAGUCAUGCUUGUACAAGCAUUUGAUAAUAACUGUAAUAAUAUCUAUACUCACAUGAAUACUAUUAUAGCCAAUUUUAAUGAUAUAGAAGUUCUUCUUACAAGCUUUAUUACAGUUUAUUUCAGUGUAUAAACUGAUUGUGGUCAAAACUGUUUAACUAAGUUGUAUUUUAUUCAUAUUGCCUAAGAUUUGUCCCUUACAUCCAAAGUACAUAUUGCAACCAUUUAUUUCAAAUGCCAAAUAUAGGCAAUAACUCAGUCAGUAUUAAAUCAGCACUGUUCUCACAUGUAAAACUGAUCAGCAGAUAUGUGGUAAACCAGAUCACAAGUUUAGCUGUACAGUUUGAAAACACAAUCACCAUGAUCAUAGUAUCUUAACUCUGAGCCGUAGCAGUGGUACUUGAAAGGCCAUGGCAUGAUUAAAUGUUUUAAGUCAUAAAUCUUUUAAAUAUACACUUCAUAAAUAUAAACUUGUUUAAUUCAUCAACUAUAACCAUGAUAACAACUACCUGGUUAGGGUUCUCAUUUUUUAACACAGCCUAUAGCAAAAACUAGAAGUUCCCAGUUAGCCAUUGGCCAAAACGUUCACACAUGAAAGAUGAAGUGAUUGAUAAGUCCUAAAAGUUGGUCAUUCCCUCCAGAGAGUUGGCUGAAGUGUUCCACUAUUGCUAUGGUGGAUCAAGAUCAUGCAAGGCCAGCGAGUCAACACAAUGAAGUACUAGUAUCCGGUGACGGAUGUCUGGAGGAGCUUUCUGCUGACAGUAACACAAUGGUUACAAUGUGCGUCCUGUCAAAGGACGAGGAAGUGAAAAGCCAUAAUCAUUUAAUCAACAAAUGUGCUUCCUGUCAUAUUUCACUUAAAUAGGACGAGGAAGUGAAAAGCCUUAUUCACUCACAAAUCAACAUGGCCAAUAUUUAUCGAACACUGAAAAAGCACAUUGUACCAUUUGUUUACAAG
rnacentral:lncRNA from 1 species